rnacentral:rRNA from 1 species
AUUGAACGCUGGCGGCAGGCCUAACACAUGCAAGUCGGACGGUAGCACAGAGGAGCUUGCUCCUUGGGUGACGAGUGGCGGACGGGUGAGUAAUGUCUGGGGAUCUGCCCGAUAGAGGGGGAUAACCACUGGAAACGGUGGCUAAUACCGCAUAACGUCGCAAGACCAAAGAGGGGGACCUUCGGGCCUCUCACUAUCGGAUGAACCCAGAUGGGAUUAGCUAGUAGGCGGGGUAAUGGCCCACCUAGGCGACGAUCCCUAGCUGGUCUGAGAGGAGGACCAGCCACACUGGAACGGAGACACGGUCCAGACUCCUACGGGAGGCAGCAGUGGGGAAUAUUGCACAAUGGGCGCAAGCCUGAUGCAGCCAUGCCGCGUGUAUGAAGAAGGCCUUCGGGUUGUAAAGUACUUUCAGCGGGGAGGAAGGCGAUGCGGUUAAUAACCGCAUCGAUUGACGUUACCCGCAGAAGAAGCACCGGCUAACUCCGUGCCAGCAGCCGCCGUAA